GAUGAGUAAUUUGUUUUAAAUUUUACCUAACAUCAAAAAUUUCUUUUUGCGGUGAUUUUUUCUUAAUAAAAAUAUUAAUAUUAUCGUCUAGCUACAAAAAAAAUGCUAAGAAGUAAGGAAGAGAGUGGGAGCAGGCAUGCUCAUGAAGAUGGUAGGAUAAAUGGAAUGAUGUUAUUAAUUUGGUGUUUCAUGAAUCACAUCA
rnacentral:lncRNA from 1 species